ACGAACGCUGGCGGCGUGCCUAAUACAUGCAAGUCGAGCGGACAGAUGGGAGCUUGCUCCCUGAUGUUAGCGGCGGACGGGUGAGUAACACGUGGGUAACCUGCCUGUAAGACUGGGAUAACUCCGGGAAACCGGGGCUAAUACCGGAUGGUUGUUUGAACCGCAUGGUUCAAACAUAAAAGGUGGCUUCGGCUACCACUUACAGAUGGACCCGCGGCGCAAUAGCUAGUUGGUGAGGUAACGGCUCACCAAGGCAACGAUGCGUAGCCGACCUGAGAGGGUGAUCGGCCACACUGGGACUGAGACACGGCCCAGACUCCUACGGGAGGCAGCAGUAGGGAAUCUUCCGCAAUGGACGAAAGUCUGACGGAGCAACGCCGCGUGAGUGAUGAAGGUUUUCGGAUCGUAAAGCUCUGUUGUUAGGGAAGAACAAGUACCGUUCGAAUAGGGCGGUACCUUGACGGUACCUAACCAGAAAGCCACGGCUAACUACGUGCCAGCAGCCGCGGUAAUACGUAGGUGGCAAGCGUUGUCCGGAAUUAUUGGGCGUAAAGGGCCCGCAGGCGGUUUCUUAAGUCUGAUGUGAAAGCCCCCGGCUCAACCGGGGAGGGUCAUUGGAAACUGGGGAACUUGAGUGCAGUAGAGGAGAGUGGAAUUCCACGUGUAGCGGUGAAAUGCGUAGAGAUGUGGAGGAACACCAGUGGCGAAGGCGACUCUCUGGUCUGUAACUGACGCUGAGGAGCGAAAGCGUGGGGAGCGAACAGGAUUAGAUACCCUGGUAGUCCACGCCGUAAACGAUGAGUGCUAAGUGUUAGGGGGUUUCCGCCCCUUAGUGCUGCAGCUAACGCAUUAAGCACUCCGCCUGGGGAGUACGGUCGCAAGACUGAAACUCAAAGGAAUUGACGGGGGCCCGCACAAGCGGUGGAGCAUGUGGUUUAAUUCGAAGCAACGCGAAGAACCUUACCAGGUCUUGACAUCCUCUGACAAUGCUAGAGAUAGGACGUCCCCUUCGGGGGCAGAGUGACAGGUGGUGCAUGGUUGUCGUCAGCUCGUGUCGUGAGAUGUUGGGUUAAGUCCCGCAACGAGCGCAACCCUUGAUCUUAGUUGCCAGCAUUCAGUUGGGCACUCUAAGGUGACUGCCGGUGACAAACCGGAGGAAGGUGGGGAUGACGUCAAAUCAUCAUGCCCCUUAUGACCUGGGCUACACACGUGCUACAAUGGACAGAACAAAGGGCAGCGAAACCGCGAGGUUAAGCCAAUCCCACAAAUCUGUUCUCAGUUCGGAUCGCAGUCUGCAACUCGACUGCGUGAAGCUGGAAUCGCUAGUAAUCGCGGAUCAGCAUGCCGCGGUGAAUACGGUCCCGGGCCUUGUACACAC
rnacentral:rRNA from 1 species